UGCUUAUCUAACUUGCCAAUUAGUGGGGGAUAACUAUGGGAAACCAUGGCUAAUACCGCAUUUGUUGCUUUGGCAAUGAAAGGAGGUCGCAAGACUUUCGCUAAUUGAUGGGGAUAAGUCGCAUCAGUUAGUUGGUGGGGUAAUGGCCUACCAAGACUAUGACGCGUAGCCAGGCUGAGAGGCUGAUUGGCCACAAGGAACUGAGACACGGUCCUACUCCCAAGGGAGGCAGCAGUGAGGAAUUUUCCGCAAUGGGGGCAACCCUGACGGAGCAAUACUACGUGAAGGAGGAAGGUCUACGGAUUGUAAACUUCUGUUAGUGCAGAAGAAGGGCUGAAUGCAAGUUCAGUUUUGACAGUAUGCACAGAGAAAGCCACGACUAACUACGUGCCAGCAGUCGCGGUAAGACGUAGGUGGCGAACGUUAUCCGGAAUUAUUGGGCGUAAAGGGUGCGUAGACGGCAUGAUAAGUUAUUGGCGGGAAAUCGAGGCUCAACCUCGUGGAAACUGAUAAUACUGUUUUGCUUGAGUACAGGAGAGGUUAACGGAACUCCAUGUGGAGCGGUAAAAUGUGUAGAUAUAUGGAAGAACAUCAAUAACGGCGAAGGCAGUUAACUAUUCUGUUACUGACGUUGAGGCACGAAAGCGUGGGGAGCAAAACGGAUUAGAUACCCGUGUAGUCCACGCCCUAAACGAUGAGUGCUAGAUAUUGGGAACUUGAUUCUCAGUGUCGCUAGUUAACACGGUAAGCACUCCGCCUGGGUAGUACGCUCGCAAGAGUGAAACUCAAAGGAAUUGACGGGGACUCGCACAAGCAGUGGAGCAUGUGGUUUAAUCCGAUACGACGCGUAGAACCUUACCAAGGCUUGACAUGUUGGGCAAAGCUAGGGAAACCUAGUGGAGGUUAUCCUAACACAGGUGCUGCAUGGCCGUCGUCAGUUCGUGCCGUGAGGUGUAUGGUUAAGUCCUAUAACGAACGUAACCCUUGGACUUAGUUGCCAGCAUUUAGUUGGGGACUCUAAGUCGACUGCCUGAGCAAUCAGGAGGAAGGAAAGGAUC
rnacentral:rRNA from 1 species